GGUGGGGAACCAGCUGGGAAUCUGCGUUGGGAGUUGCUGGAAGUCGGAGGCGGGGGAGCUGCCACUCGCAGCGAGCUCGGGCAGCGGCAGGGUGCAAAGUUGAGAGCAGUCCUUAGUCUAAGCCUUUCCUCCGCCCUCCGGGACCUCCAGUACCAUGGACUCCACCCUACCGCGGCCCCUCGGCAACGCGGUGCAGCCGCCACUCAACCAGGCGUAGUCCCUAUUCUACAGCUGGGAAAACAGGCAUGCAGAGCCGAGGCAGAGCUGGAGUCCAGACGCUCUGGGAGGCCACCGGCAUGGAAGAAGGGAGCUGCCUCCCUUCCUGGAGCCCGGUUCCUGUCUGGGAUGCCAGAAAACAGUUUGGGGAAGCCAAGUGAGAAUGGAAUUCUCACUCUGCCUGGAACAUAGUUCUUCUUGAAUGAACUGAGGAUACAAGAAUGGUGUUGCACUGCUAUUACAGAAUACUACAGACCAGGUA
rnacentral:lncRNA from 1 species